ensembl:snoRNA SNORD14 Small nucleolar RNA SNORD14
UCGCUGUGAUGAAGUUGAUUCCAUUAUCAUUCGUAGUUUCCACCAGAGGCCGAAAGGCCAAAGAUGGCCCAAUGUCCUUCCUUGGAUGUCUGAGCGA